rnacentral:lncRNA from 1 species
CCCCCAGCUGCCACCCGGGAGGCCAGCCCCACAUUUCAGCUCCCUGCCCAGCCUUGCCUUUGGAGACUUUCCUUCAAAACCAGUGACCCUUGACAGUUUUCCCUGUGUCCCCAAGAGAUAUUUAAGUCUUAACCCCCAGUACCUGCGAGUGUUGAACCCUAUUUGGAAAUCAGGCCUUUGCAGAUGAUAUAGUUAAGAUGAAGUCAUCAGGCUAGAUGGUGUCUUCAUAAAUAGGGGGAAUUUGGACUUCACAGUUGUGAAAAUACAGAGACAACACCAUCGAUAAGCCAAGGAAUGGUGGAGAAGACCAGAUGUAAGAGAGAGGUGUAGGACAGCCUCCCAGCCCUCCCAGGCAGCCAGUCCUGUUGACACCUUGAUUUAGAACUUCUAGCCUCGGAACUGAGAGACAAUAAACUUCUGUUGUUUGAAGUACUAGUGGUGGAACUUUAGGCAGCCCUAGGAAACUAGUGUACCCCAUGCUAGCCUUUUCACCGAGGAAAUCAGAAUUAAGGCUGUUCAUCAGGACUCCCCAUUUAGCCCUAAUCCCUGACGUCACUUGUUGCUGGUAAAGCAAUGCCCUAAGAAUAUGAACUACCCGUGGGCAUGGUUGAUGUGUCCCCAGGAGAAUCUCCAGCCACAAGGAGUUUCUACCAGCAGGGAUGGGUGUUCUACAAGGCUGGACAGUUUAGGCUCCUGCAGAUGAAAGAGAGGAAGCUCUUGCUGCUGACUGAUGUUUAUCGGGUGAUCUCUAUGCUGGGAGCCCCGAC